rnacentral:snRNA from 1 species
UCGCUCAGGUUUCACCGCAAGGACGAAUAUGCGUUUCGCCUUUUACUAAACGCAUCCGUGCGGAGGAACACUCACAAUGAGCCUAAUGGCAAUUUUUGUAGCCCCGUAAGGGGC